GGGACUUCCUGGUUGGAUGGAAGAAGAUAGGAAGCAGGAGAGAGUUAGGCCCUUUUUGGAAUGGAGACAGCAGAGAGCAGCUCGUCUGAGUUCAAGAGGGAAAGAUAUGGUGGCCAAGCAUGAGGUGCUCCACAAAGGCCGUGGGGGAUUUGAAGCACGAGAAGCCUGACCAGACUUGGAACUGAAGCACCUUAAGGACAAAAGAAAGACUUGCUGAGCUCGCUCACAGACCUUCUAGAGCAGCGCUGGGCUCAUGGAUCUGGAGAUUAUGGACAGAAGAUAAUGUAGAUGUUAUAACCAGGCCAGCGUCCUGUGGUAAAGGGUGUCUUUAGAUCACUGUUUCGUCGGUAUAGGUAAAUGACAUGAAGAACAUCUUUAUAGGCAGGGGAUGAGAAUCUGAGAUGAAGAAAAGAGGCUCCCCUGAUGGACCAUUCUAAGCUACUGUCAGAAGCAGGAUCCAUAGAACUUAAGGACAUGAUUGCAACAAUUAUCAGACAUUGGCCUCUUAGGUCAUGGUGAUCUUUUAGUAUUUUGGCUUUCUGCUGUCCUUUCAUAAAGGAACCUCAUUUUUAGCUUCUAUUGAAGAUAUAAAAUCAUCUCAUAGUAUUUUCUCAUUACUAGGAGCUGUAAAUCACUUCAAAGCUGUCUUUCUCCUUGAUCAUUUGCAUAUCAAAGUAUUUCUCUUGAGUACGGUGAUCUCUCCCCCUGUGGUUUGCUGUGUACCAGUUCUCUCUGGAUCCUAGGGCCUAGGGAAGUGUGGAUUCCAAGUGACUGGUGUUUUUCUACAGUAGAGCUUUUUUGUUGGCUCUUACCUGGGAGGACAAUGGGGAAGGGCCAGGGCCAUCCUGUUCUUUGCUGGGUGUGACCUUUCCUGCUCUGCUUCAGGGUUCCAUGCUGAAACCACCUUUAGCCAUCAUCGAGUGGGACUCCUUUUUACAUUUUGGUGAUUUCAAUAUUGUUUUUGUAUGGGUUUUGAGUUUCAGUCCUAAAUCUGUGUGGUGUGACAGAGGGAACCUCUACACAAAGGCCUGCCAAUCUGCAACCUCUUCAUGCUGCCACUGGUUAGAUCAACAGUUCACUCUAGACACUGAACCUUGCCUGCAUGCGUGCUAGUGUCACCACCAACAUCAGUAUCACUGUGCACCAGCAUCAGCAUCACUGUGCACCAGCAUCAGCAUCACUGUGUAUCAGCAUCAGCAUCACUGUGCACCAGCAUCAGCAUCACUGUGCACCAGCAUCAGCAUCACUGUGUAUCAGCAUCAGCAUCACUGUGCACCAGCAUCAGCAUCACUGUGUACCAGCAUCAGCAUCACUGUGCACCAGCAUCAGCAUCACUGUGUACCAGCAUCAGCAUCACUGUGUACCAGCAUCAGCAUCACUGUGUAUCAGCAUCAGCAUCACUGUGCACCAGCAUCAGCAUCACUGUGCACCAGCAUCAGCAUCACUGUGUAUCAGCAUCAGCAUCACUGUGCACCAGCAUCAGCAUCACUGUGCACCAGCAUCAGCAUGACUGUGUACCAGCAUCAGCAUCACUGUGCACCAGCAUCAGUAUCACUGUGUACCAGCAUCAGCAUCACUGUGCACCAGCAUCAGUAUCACUGUGCACAGCUCAAUCUCCAUACGUCAAUCGCCAGAUCGGUCCAAAAGUGUCUUGUCUGUGUGUAUUUUCUCCCACUUUACCACUCCACUCUGGCUUAAGCCUUCCCACCUGCUACUGUGUACUGUGUGGUUGCUGGCUUUGGGAACUCCCAAACUUUCCCUCUGUAUUUCAUGUUUCUGUUGGCCUGACAAGUAUCUCUUUCUAAAAAAGUACUAGUUUAUUUUAUGUGAAUGAAUGUUUUGUCUGUGUAGCUGGUAUGUGCUUGGUGCCCAUGAAUCCCAGAAGAGGGUAUUGGAUCCUCUGGAAGUGGAGUUAGUUACAGAUGCUUGUGAGCCUUCAUGUGGGUUCUGGGAAUUGAACCCAGGUCUUUUGGAUCCCAGUGAUUUUAAUGGUCGAGCUAUCUUUCCAGCUCCUUCAGGGCCUGAGAGAGGUCCUAGAACCCCUAAAUUCCCCAGUGACUCCCCUUUGUUAUUCUGAGAAGUUUCAGCUUCAACUUGCCAUUCUGGGAAACACAGGACCCUAUAAUCCACCUGCCUUCCGGGAUGAACACAUGGCUUCACCCCUGAAGGCAGUGCUUAAGGCACUGCAUGAUUCUCCACUUCCAAACGUGAUCUGUAUUUUCUGCCCACCUACCUCUUUGCUUAGUCAUUCACUGUAUUAUUCCCUAUUCUGUGCUGAGCACGAGUGUGCUCUCUCUCUCUGUCUCCUUUCUUUUUGCUUUUUUUUUCUCAUCUUUCUUUUUUUUUUGUCAGUUUUAUGUAUCUUUGAAAAUUUUAUUGAAUGUAACCUUUUUAAGAGUCUUGGAUGCAAUGUCCUUUCUUUGAGCCUUGAAAUCUGAAUCAUCUCUUUAGUGUAUUGUGGCAAAUGACGGUGUUUCUCUGUGUAUUCCUAGCUGUCCUGGAACUCUUUUUGUAGAUCAGGCUGGCCUCGAACUCACAGAGAUUUGCCUGCCUCUGCCUCUCAAGUGCUGGGAUCAACAGCAUGUGCUACCACUGUCCAGGUCUUGAUUUCUUGAUUUCUUGAUUUAAAAGAAUGAGUCUCUGCAUAAGGCUUGCCUAGGCCAUCAGCUACAAGCUUCACUGGACAGUGUACAGACAGCAUAGAGUUGGCUUCAUACUAGGGAUUGAGCAUCUAUUGGUGGAAUAAAUACAUCAAUAUGUGGAAUAUUGCGAACUCAAGACCUCUUCCUAUACUAAACUUCUCUAAAUGUGCAAGACUCUCAGUAUAGUCAUUUCAUUCUAGAUAGUCUCUGAGUGUUGCCAGAAAGUUUAGGGGCAAAGAGGGAGCUAUCAACUAUAAUGGCCGUGAGUGGAAACCACAGGCACUGAGCAGCUUAAUGGAAAAAGACAAGUUCUGUAGACUCUUCAGAAAGGCAUCAAUCACAGGAUGACGGCAGCUUUGGGAGACAGUGAAGAGAUGCUUGAGUAGGAGCCAGAGUGUGAAGGAGAAAGUCUCUUAGAAUUGGUUUUCCAAAGCCAGAGCCUGAGUCACAGUUAGCACACCUAGGAAAGGCACAUGUGUGUGUGUGUGUGUGUGUGUGUGUGUGUGUUGUGAGGGUGUGGCAGUGGGUUGGUAUUAUAGAUUUACCUUGUUUGGACUGGUGACCUGGAGGAUUGUGCCUGCUAUUGCUCUCCUGAUGGGAUUCUGUUCUUCUCCCUCUGGGUGUUAUGCGACUGCUUGUGGCUCCCAGAGAGAAUAUUACAAACACCACUGAUUAUGUUCCUUCUCAGGUAACAUUCUUCUGCUGUAAAAUAUCCUGGCUGAGUCAUGUUUAAAUACACCAAAGUGUAAUGUGGUCACUGUGAUAAUUCUGAAACACAA
rnacentral:lncRNA from 1 species